GAUGAAGAACGUAGCGAAAUGCGAUAAGUAAUGUGAAUUGCAGAAUUCAGUGAAUCAUCGAGUCUUUGAACGCACAUUGCGCCCCCUGGUAUUCCGGGGGGCAUGCCUGUCCGAGCGUCAUUGCUGCCCUCAAGCACGGCUUGUGUGUUGGGCCCCCGUCCCCGGUUUCCCCCGGGGACGGGCCCGAAAGGCAGCGGCGGCACCGCGUCCGGUCCUCGAGCGUAUGGGGCUUUGUCACCCGCUCUGUAGGCCCGGCCGGCGCCAGCCGACACCCAACUUUAUUUCUAAGGUUGACCUCGGAUCAGGUAGGGAUACCCGCUGAACCUAAGCAUAUCAAUAAGCGGAGGA
rnacentral:misc_RNA from 1 species